rnacentral:tRNA from 1 species
AGGGCAGUGGCUCAAUUGGUAGAGCACCGGUCUCCAAAACCGGCGGUUGGGGGUUCUUGGGGGUUCGAGUCCCUCCUGCCCUGCCC